UACGGAGGGUGCAAGCGUUAUCCGGAUUCACUGGGUUUAAAGGGUGCGUAGGUGGGUUGGUAAGUCAGUGGUGAAAUCUCCGAGCUUAACUUGGAAACUGCCAUUGAUACGAUCAGUCUUGAAUAUUGUGGAGGUCAGCGGAAUAUGUCAUGUAGCGGUGAAAUGCUUAGAUAUGACAUAGAACACCAAUUGCGAAGGCAGCUGGCUACACAUAUAUUGACACUGAGGCACGAAAGCGUGGGGAGCAAACAGG
rnacentral:rRNA from 1 species